rnacentral:sRNA from 1 species
AGACUGGAGGGAAGCAACGUGGGAGGAGACGAAAACAAAGCAGCGAAGCUGGAGGAGACAAAGGGGGGUCUGGGUGAGGGCCCGAGCAGAGGGUCUCAGCAGGGACAGCGUGCUGGGAGCUGCCGGCCCCACACAGGGGGUGCCGCGGCCCUGAAGACCCCCCCUCUCCCCUGCACAGUCACCAAGACUUGGAGCCAGAAUCUGAGCCUCAGCUGGAGUCAGAGACAGCAGGAAAAUGGGUCCUGUGUAAUUAUGACUUCCAGGCCCGCAACAGCAGUGAGCUGUCGGUCAAGCAGCGGGACGUACUGGAGGUCCUGGAUGACAGUCGUAAGUGGUGGAAGGUUCGGGACCCAGCGGGGCAGGAGGGAUAUGUGCCCUACAACAUCCUGACACCCCACCCCGGACCCCGGCUGCACCACAGCCAAAGCCCUGCCCGCAGCCUGAACAGCACUCCUCCUCCGCCACCAGCCCCAGCCCCGGCCCCACC